AGUUUUAAUAGUUAACCGGCUUCAAAAUAGCCUUCAGUUUUCAUCGUUUAUUUAAAGGAUGGGAUUAUUCAGAGGAAAAGGGGAGGGAGGUGGCGUAGUAGUUAGAGCAGGGUUUCAGUCCCAGCUCCUACUGCCCUAUUACCCUAAAACCAGGUACUACUUCUGAAUUAAUACAGUAAAAACAACCCAGCUCUAUAAAUGGGUAAAUUGUGGAAGUAAUUGAGUACACAAACCUACGUUUGUAAGUCGGCAUUGAGAAAGGUGUCUGCUAAUUGAAUUAAUAACAAUAAUUUGACAUGUUGAGACCUCAAUAGUGUCAAAGUACUGCAGCUUUCGUGGAUAUGUACUUGUUCUCCUGCUGUUUUUCAUCUGUGAUCGUUUCUUUAAUCUGUCCGAGGACCUGCUAUUUGCUUGAUCCCUGUUCACCAUGAGGUCUUCACAUGUGAGAGGUGUCUGAACUCUUGCGUGAUGUUCAAGACCGGCAAACCCUCAACAAACCUCCACCUUUGCUUACUCUUUGGUAACUCCGCCAUGGAUGGUCCCAAAGCUGGCUGAGAAAGGAGGAGGGUUGGGUGUGGGGCUAGCUACCCCACACCGUAAAAACCUUGCCAGCUACAGAAACGCCAACAAGGAAACUUCAAGACAUCUCAGCUCUUGACAGAGACGCCUGGAGAACCCUUCUUAACGGCCUAUGCCCCAGGAGGGGUGGAAGGCGGUACAACGUGGACAGGGUGCCAGUCCGUGCCCAGGACGAGACGUCGGUCCGUUGCAAGGCAGCCCCAGGAAGGCUCGAAUCCCAGACCCGCCACACAGCGGGCACCGGUUGAACCUGCCAUGCCACCACACUUGUCCCUCCCCCCACUAAAGCAAAAGUCAACUCAAUUUAUUGCCAUGAAGCACUUCUCUCAGCUUGCUGAGUAACUGUGUGUUGAACAAUAGAGCAUGGAUUGUUGACACAUUACUGACAAAAAAAUAGACAAACUAAACACAGAAUCCAGUAUACAAACACACUGCAAUGCACCAUCUGGCAACUGAGGAGAGGAAAAUAAAAAAAAAACAACCUGGCA
rnacentral:lncRNA from 1 species